CUGCGUCGUCGCGGCGGCGUUUAAGCUCCUCCAGCUUGCGCUCUGCCUCUAGGCGGGCAGCGUCGUCCUGGUCGUCGCCCGCGGACACCUCGGGGGAACGCACACUGCCGCGACUGGGACAGAUCCACAAAACCACAGGUUUCCUGUGUUGUUUGGGAGCCGCUUCCUCAUGAAACCCUCCGUUCUGCUUCCUCUGCUCCUCCCUCUCCUCCCUGGCCCCGCCUCUCUCAUCCACCUGCACAGAAACAACCGCCCGGACAGUGAGCAAACAUGCAAUUGCAAGCUCCUACGGAAAAGGAUUACAGCGGUUCUUUGAAGUAGAGACCAGGGAUCAGCUCAACAAUGUGCAUCACAAAGUCAAUAAAUCAAUGACCAUA